rnacentral:lncRNA from 1 species
CUUUUUUAAACUUUUGACAAAAGACCUUGGGUAUUAUUGAAAUUUAUUUAUUGAUACGUGUAUGAUAUGCACGAUGAGACGAAAAUUAUAUCAUAUGGUAUGCAUACGUAUACGCAUAUUUAGUGAUAUAAGAUAAUUUCUCUAGUAAAGAACUAAAACCAUCCAAAUAUCCGAAGAGGUACAUUUUGUCUUUUGUACCUACUUUGUUGUCAUCUAAUAUUUUGAAUUUAAAAUUCAGUUUCAGGAGCCUCU